rnacentral:rRNA from 1 species
CAAUAGCGUAUAUUAAAGUUGUUGCGGUUAAAAAAGCUCGUAGUUGGAUUUCUGCGGGGGAGCGAACGGUCCACCUUAUGGGUGAGUAUCUGUCAGGCCCUUGCAUCCUCGUGGGGAACGUCGCUGCGCUUUAUUGCGUGGUACGGAAUCCACGACUUUUACUUUGAGGAAAUUAGAGUGUUCACGGCAGGCAAACGCCCUGAAUAUGUUAGCAUGGAAUAAUAAUAUAGGACUUUGGUUUUAUUUUGUUGGUUUCUAGAACUAAAGUAAUGAUAAAUAGGGACAGUUGGGGGUAUUUGUAUUCAAUUGUCAGAGGUGAAAUUCUUGGAUUUAUGGAAGACGAACUACUGCGAAAGCAUUUACCAAGGAUGUUUUCAUUAAUCAAGAACGAAAGUUAGGGGAUCGAAGAUGAUUAGAU